UACGAAGGGGGCUAGCGUUGCUCGGAAUCACUGGGCGUAAAGGGCGCGUAGGUGGUCUGAUAAGGGUGUGGUGAAAGUCCGGGGCUCAACCCCGGAUCUGCCGUGCCGACUGUCAGACUCGAGGACUGUAGAGGCAGGCGGAAUUCCGGGUGUAGUGGUGAAAUGCGUAGAUAUCGGGAGGAACACCAGUGGCGAAGGCGGCUUUCUGGCCUGCUCUUGACGCUGAGGCGCGGAAAGCUAGGGUAGCAAACGGG
rnacentral:rRNA from 1 species